rnacentral:miRNA from 1 species
GUGCUGGCGAGCUCCGGUGCCGCA